AUGCUGGACAAGUGCUGGCAGGCACUUCCAUGGUGUUCAAAUCCUGCCAUGGAGAAGAAAGACUCUGUUGACUCCUAUGGGCUCUGGUUCAGGCCCCCAAGCAACUGGACACCUCACUUAGUUGUCAUUUCUCAAACCAGACUUCCAGAAGAAGCCUCGAUAGCAAACUGUUUUAUGAAAUCUGCUGCUUGAGAUGAAGGAAUGUCAGGCAACAAACAUUGCUGGUCCUAAGUAUCCUUGUCUUUUGUGAAACUGUUGGGAUCUGUGGCAGUGUGCCUAUGGCGGACAGUCUCCCAGUACUGCUUGACACUAAUGCCUCUGCACGUGGAUGUACGCAUGGACAGGUUUGAUAAGGAAAGAGAGGAGUGCAUUCUUUAAAUAACCUGUCAGUAUCUUGUUCCAGCAGUUUGAUGGAAAAUAAAGUGAAGAGUUUGUCCUACA
rnacentral:lncRNA from 1 species